GAGAGUCUUGCCUUCUGUCUCCUUCCUGGUUGACCUUGCAAGAAACCUCCUUCUGUAACUAAAAGUGGGGUCUGCCUGUUUACUGCUCAAAAGCCAAUAAAGAGUCCAGGGAUUGAACCCCACCUCCUGCAUUGGAAAGCGAAGUCCCUACCACCGGACCACCAGCGCUUUGAACCCGACGACACCUCAGGUCCUGUCCUGCUUUGCAGGCUCCAGACUUCCACACCACCCAUCCGGAUUCCGCCCCAUCCUGGAGAGGUCACCUGUGGACUCCUGCGUCUCUCUGCCAUUCGCCUUCCUCUCUUGCCUGGUCACAGUUUUGCCUGAAACGCGGAGAUCUGGCUUCCAGAUGGGCUAAACAUCUCCCAGCCACAGGGAGCUGCGCUUCUGAGGACUCCCCGGGAGAUGUGCUGAGCGGUGGCCGGCAGCCCGUGUGCCUGCCCUGGACUCCGCUGACCCGCGCGCCUGGCCACAUGAGUGCAUCUCUCAGCCGAGCCAGUUAUCCCCUGCCCCAGUCAAACUGAGUCUAGUUUUCCAAGAAGGGCCAUUGUACUGUGGAGUCUCAGAGACGGAACACAAAGUAAACAGGACUUACUACCCAGAGGCCCCUUCUCUUCUCAUGAGAAACCACUGUCUGUGUUGAACUCUUAACUGAAACCACAGUCCAGAGUUUCAAGGAGCCACCUCUCAAACAUGGAUAUCAUUAAAGUUCAGAGAUUUCCAACCACAGAUUUACUAUCUUUGGAAUGAAAGCUGGAGAGCAGCCUAAGUCACGUCUAACGCAGGAAGGGAAGUUAAAGACAGUCUUGGCAUCCUUCAGAUCGCUGACCCUACAGAGAUGUUCGAUGUGAAGAAGGAAAUGGCAACCCACUCCAGUGUUCUUGCUUGGGAAAUCCUAUGGACAGAGGAGCCUGGUGGGCUAUAUCCAUGGAGUUGCAAAAGAAUCAGACACAACUUAGCAGCUAAGACCUGCUAAGUUUAAAUAUGCCAAAAAUAUUUUCAUGAGUAAAGGAUAUUUUCUUACCUCUGUUGUUGCUUUAAAAAUAACAUGAAAAAAGAU
ensembl:lncRNA